rnacentral:lncRNA from 1 species
AGCAGAGAACUGCCCGUCAGAACAGAGAAAUACAUAUCAGAUCAGAGAAAUUCCCAUCAGAACAGCCCGGUCAGAGCAGAGAAAUACACCAGCCCGGUCGGAGCAGAGAAGUACCCCAGCCCGAUUAGAGCAGAGAAAUACCCUUUCAGAGCAGAGAAAUACCUUCAGAGCAGCCCGAUCAGAGCAUAGACAUGCCCUUUCAGAGCAGAACAUUAAAGUCAUGGCGGAGCAUUGAAAUCCCGACAGAGGAUUGAAAUCCCGGAAGAGCAUUGAAAUCCCGACAGAGGAUUGAGAUCCCGGUAGAGCAUUGAAAUCCCG